rnacentral:rRNA from 1 species
CAGCAGCCGCGGGAAUACGAAGGGGGCUAGCGUUGUUCGGAAUUACUGGGCGUAAAGCGCGCGUAGGCGGUUACUCAAGUCAGAGGUGAAAGCCCGGGGCUCAACCCCGGAACUGCCUUUGAAACUAGGUGACUAGAAUCUUGGAGAGGUCAGUGGAAUUCCGAGUGUAGAGGUGAAAUUCGUAGAUAUUCGGAAGAACACCAGUGGCGAAGGCGACUGACUGGACAAGUAUUGACGCUGAGGUGCGAAAGCGUGGGGAGCAAACAGGAUUAGAUACCCGGGUAGUCCCUGUCUCUUAUAC